UACGUAGGGGGCUAGCGUUGUCCGGAAUCAUUGGGCGUAAAGCGCGUGUAGGCGGCCCGGUAAGUCCGCUGUGAAAGUCGGGGGCUCAACCCUCGGAUGCCGGUGGAUACUGUCGGGCUCGAGUACGGAAGAGGCGAGUGGAAUUCCUGGUGUAGCGGUGAAAUGCGCAGAUAUCAGGAGGAACACCAAUUGCGAAGGCAGCUCGCUGGGACGUUACUGACGCUGGAGACGCGAAAGCGUGGGGAGCAAACAGG
rnacentral:rRNA from 1 species